rnacentral:rRNA from 1 species
GUGCCAGCCGCCGCGGUAAUACGUAGGUGGCAAGCGUUGUUCGGAAUUACUGGGCGUAAAGGGCUUGUAGGCGGCCAACUAAGUCAGACGUGAAAUCCCUCGGCUUAACCGGGGAACUGCGUCUGAUACUGGAUGGCUUGAGUUCGGGAGAGGGAUGCGGAAUUCCUGGUGUAGCGGUGAAAUGCGCAGAUAUCAGGAAGAACACCUAUGGCGAAGGCAGCUCUCUGGGACGGUACUGACGCUGAGACGCGAAAGCGUGGGGAGCGAACAGGAUUAGAUACCCUGGUAGUCCACGCCGUAAACGAUGGGUGCUAGGUGUGGGCGGUGUCGACUCCGUCCGUGCCGAAGCUAACGCAUUAAGUCGUCCGCCUGGGGAGUACGGCCGCAAGGUUGAAACUCAAAGGAAUUGACGG